CAGUCGAGCGGAUGAAGAGAGCUUGCUCUCUGAUUCAGCGGCGGACGGGUGAGUAAUGCCUAGGAAUCUGCCUGGUAGUGGGGGACAACGUCUCGAAAGGGACGCUAAUACCGCAUACGUCCUACGGGAGAAAGCAGGGGACCUUCGGGCCUUGCGCUAUCAGAUGAGCCUAGGUCGGAUUAGCUAGUUGGUGAGGUAAUGGCUCACCAAGGCGACGAUCCGUAACUGGUCUGAGAGGAUGAUCAGUCACACUGGAACUGAGACACGGUCCAGACUCCUACGGGAGGCAGCAGUGGGGAAUAUUGGACAAUGGGCGAAAGCCUGAUCCAGCCAUGCCGCGUGUGUGAAGAAGGUCUUCGGAUUGUAAAGCACUUUAAGUUGGGAGGAAGGGCAGUAACUUAAUACGUUGCUGUUUUGACGUUACCGACAGAAUAAGCACCGGCUAACUCUGUGCCAGCCGCCGCGGUAA
rnacentral:rRNA from 1 species